GUGGGGGGCGCAGUGUGCUGGAGACACAUCAUCUUAGAGAAAGGACAGCAGCUCAGAGGAUGUGAGCCCUGAGGUACCUGCGCUGAGGACCCAGAAGGACCCUGGGAUCCCUGGACUCUGAGCCCCAUCAGUAACAGGCUGCUUACUUGGGAGAACAGACGAAUCUCCACCAACCUCUUGCUCUGAACAGAAAUAAGUCACCCUCUUCCCUGAAUCAGUUACUAGUUUGAUCUCAAUACAGGAGCAUCUUUGGCAAUAAAUACUUGGAUAAUGGGUCCAGUCUCCUCUUAGAAUUUGUCUGGGGCCCCUGUUUCCCGUAGAUACUGAAGGACCAGGAAUAGUCAAGUUUGAAGGCGGAGCAGGAAGCAGGAAGCCAAAUAUCAAGACUCCAUCUGGAGCCACGAUGGAUGUGUGGAAGUCCUCCAUGGGAAACGCAGAACUUUGAAGCAUUUAGAAGAAAUGGCCUUAUGGUUUUAAGAAAAAUUCUUAAGUGAGACACGCAAUCAUAAUUGAAGUUGGAUACAUUUGGCUAUAUCUCUGUUGUACAUGUGGACCCACGUACAACAAAAGGCACCACAAAGUUAAAAGUUAAACAACAAGCCCCAGAUCAAGAAGAAAUACCUUCUAUACACAUAACAGACAAAUGGUCAUUAUGCUGCAUAUUUAAAGAGCUUAUACUAAUCAAUAAGACAAUACAAAAGAAGAACCAACCAAAAAUAGGAACAUGCAAUGAACAGAAGUGGAAACUGAAUAUCCCACACCCAUGAAAAGGCACCCUCUACCUAGUAAUCGGGGACAUGCAAACGUAAGCAAGGAUUUAAGAUCAUCACAUGAACAAAGGCUAAGUACCUAACAGCAGUCAUGCGGGCAACGGGCAGGUAAGCUCUCAGACAAUCUGAGGGAGGUAUGCUAGCUCCACCCUUUGAAAAGCAAUUCGUCUGCUGGUGAAGCUGGAGCCCGGCAGGCCCCUCCACCCUGCGACCCCAUCUCUCCUGGACUCUGGAGACACUGCUGCAUUUUGCACAAGGAAUGGGAGCAGUGGCCGGUCCCAGGUGGGGACAGACUCCAUGACAUCAGCCUGUCCACAAAGUGGCUAAGACAGGCCCCAGCGGCUGCGCACGGACCUGGGCCAGCAGGGGGUUGCAGCACAGGGCCACAGAACGUGAUGCUGUUUGUGUGAUGUCACAAACUUUUGCUGAAACCAUAUGGAGGAGAGAGGACGGGGGAGUAAGGCCAAACGCUAACACCUGCUAGGUCCGGGUCCGGGCACGCAUCGUGCCAUUGGUUCUGAAUGUUCCAGCCGCCCCAUCAAGAACAUGCAGGGGACAAAGAAUGUGGGUCCUGAAGGCAAAAAAAAAAAAAAAAAAAAGCUACAGAGAAACAGGAGACAACAAAAGACCCUAAGAAAGCAGAACCAGCGCGGACAGUGAGCCACGUGCUUGGGGGCGAUGAAAGAGGAAGAAGCCAUCAGAGAGCUGCGCGGACGGGACGGCUGAAUACAGCCUCAAGGACGCUUAUUCAGUCAACAGAUAAUAAUGGAACACCUGCGAGAGCCGGCCCCGGGGACUCUGUGGGGCACCCCCCCUCCGAGCGUGGGGGGCAACCCACGCGCAGAGAGUGACUCAUUUCCAUACGGCUCCACAGAACGACCCCAAAGUUGAAUCUGAGACUCUUGGAGCAGGAGCAACUUGCUGGGAAAUUUGAGGACGCAAAUUCAAUUCAUCAUUAUUUAUGAAGCGACACGGAGGAGUUUAUUACUCUGAUUACUCACUAAUCAUUCCCCAUAAAUGCAGGAACCGACAAA